rnacentral:misc_RNA from 1 species
GAUGAAGAACGUAGCAAAAUGCGAUAAGUAAUGUGAAUUGCAGAAUUCAGUGAAUCAUCGAAUCUUUGAACGCACAUUGCGCCCGCUGGUAUUCCGGCGGGCAUGCCUGUUCGAGCGUCAUUUCAACCCUCAAGCCCCCGGGUUUGGUGUUGGGGAUCGGCUCUGCCCUCUGGGCGGUGCCGCCCCCGAAAUACAUUGGCGGUCUCGCUGCAGCCUCCAUUGCGUAGUAGCUAACACCUCGCAACUGGAACGCGGCGCGGCCAUGCCGUAAAACCCCAACUUCUGAAUGUAGACCUCGGAUCAGGUAGGAAUACCCGCUGAACUUAAGCAUAUCAAUAAGCGGAGGA